rnacentral:rRNA from 1 species
AUUGAACGCUGUCGGCAGGCCUAACACAUGCAAGUCGGGCGAGCGGAGGACGGAUGAGUAAUGUAUGGGGAUCUGCCUGAUGGAGGGGGAAAACUACUGGAAACGGUAGCUAAUAACGCAUAACAUAAGAUGAACCCAUAUGGGAUUAGCUUGUAGGGUAGGUAACGGCUCACCUAGGCGACGCUCCCGAGAUGGUCUGAGAGGAUGAUCAGCCACACUGGGACUGAGACACGGCCCAGACUCCGACGUGAGGCAGCAGUGGGGAAUAUUGCACAAUGGGCGCAAGCCUGAUGCAGCCAUGCCGCGUGUAUGAAGAAGGCCUUCGGGUUGUAAAGUACUUUCAGUCGGGAGGCGUUACCGACAGAAGAAGCACCGGCUAACUCCGUGCCAGCAGCCGCGGUAAUAC